rnacentral:lncRNA from 1 species
GAAGGACCCUGGUAACCACAGAGAGCGAGCCUCGCGUGCACUCCUGGGAAGCUGCUGGGUUUUCUGCAAAAAGGUGUGGCUUCCAGCUCUGCUAGCGAUGGUUGGGGGUGAAGCAAAAAUGUACACACCUGGUGGAUAUGACCUUUAGGGCAUUAUGACUCAAGAGGAAACCUGGGAAGAUACAGAUGUGUGUGUCUGAGAAUGGAAAGGAAUGUGAACAGCAUUAGCAUAUGAGAGAUAAAUGGAGAACAAAGAGAAAAUAGAGAAAACAAAAGGAGAAUCUGUCUAGAGUGGCUUCCAUUAAGAAAAGUUUUAUAAAAGCAUCAGAUAUGAACAGCAAUGGAGGUCUAGAGAUUGGCGUAAGGCCAAUGACAUUGGUCUGGAUGGUAUGCCUAAAUUUAGGAUGACUUUUGUGACAGAACGGAUUGAGUAGAAUCUUGAAGAAGUUUCUCUUCCUCGUCACUGAAGGGCUUACUUACAUGGACCAUUGGCAAUGUUGAGAAGUAGAAACAAUUUGCUUAUGAUACCUUCCCAUCAACACACUCAACCAAAAUGGAUGCUGUUCUUUGAGAGCUUGAUCUUUGUUAACUGUUCAUUCAUUUAACCAACAUUAACUGUCCAAUUACUAUAUGGCUCGUACCCUUUUAUGCACUGGGGAUAUUUUGAUGAAAAAAAUAGAGAAAAUGCCCGCUAUUGUGGAGCAUGUAUUUUACUAAGUGUGCCCCCAGAAUCAAAAGCUUUUACUGGCACACAGUAUUUUUUUGCAGGGGGGAAGAUUUGCCCUGAGCUAACUGCUGCCAAUCCUCCUCUUUUUGCUGAGGAAGACUGGCCCUGAGCUAACAUCCGUGCUCAUCUUCCUCUACUUUAUAUGUGGGAUGCCUACCACAGCAUGGCUUGCCAAGUGGUGCCAUGUCUGCACCCAGGAUCCAAACCGGUGAACCCCAGGCUGCCGAAGCAGAACGUGCAAACUUAACCGCUGCACCACAGGGCCGGACCCAAACAGUAUUUCUUGAUUGCAAAGGAAUGAUCUUUAAACAGGUGCUCUUGACUAUUCAAAGACUAUCUUAAAGAAUUAAGUCAAAUGAUAGUGAAUUGUAGCAAUCUAUUAUAGUUUAUUACAGGAAAUGUGGUGAUGGUUGACCAUAUCUUUAAAAAUAAUAAAUAUUUCUUGUUAGCCUGUUUUUCUUAUCCAAAAGAAACCUAUUGUAGCUGAAAGAGCCCUGGAUUUGACAUCAAAAGAUAGAGGUUCAAAUUCUAUCUUGCCCUGUGGUGUGCUUUUUGGCAAGUUAUUUUACCAUUCUGAGCAUUUGUCCCCCUUCUCCCCUCUUCUCCUAGGAAAAAGGAGAUUCUAACACUCGUUGAGAAGUAGUGAGAUAAUAUAUUUAGCAGCCUAGGCUGGCCUGGUGCAAAACAAGGGCUCAGCAUAUGGAUGCCUUCUCUGUGGAAAGUGCAAGACCUGAGCAGCUUCAGCAGAGCCCUUGAUCCCAGCAGGAGAGCAUUGGAUAUCCAGAUCCUGCGGCUCUUGGGGGGCUGUGUCCAUGCCCCGUGGGAGGAGAGGGUUGGGGCAGAUGGUGGACCCCAUGCAGCUGCAAUAGCCUGGGGCCUGGCCACUUCACAGCUUGCUUUCCUGAUGUAUGAAGUCCUUCCCUGGAGCCAUUUUCUUGUGAAACAGCCUUUAUUUGCCCACUGUGGUUUGUUUGGAGUGAAAGCUUGUGUUAACUUCCUGCAGGUCUUUUUAAUGACAGACUCCAAUGUCCUCAGGAAAGACAGAGAAAAGCCACUGUGGAGGCACAAGAGGAGAGGCCCCAUGCUGAAUUAUGCUGAGGCUGACGGAGGACUCACACUUGUGUUUUAUAGAAGCUUAAUUUAUUUUUCUCUAUUAUAAAAGUGAAUUACAUUGCUCUUUGUUUCUCUAAUUCAGAGGAAGAAGAACCGUUAGCCACAAAGUAAAGGGUCGAUUAAAAUGACAGUGCUGUGGGUGACUUCCUCCAACCACCCUCAUGGAGGUUUAUUUAGGAUGAUGUAAGAAGGGAGAAGACCUGAGAUAUAAAUUUGGAGCCUCCUGAAUUGUACUUGUAACUGGGGUCACAGAAGGCCAGGAGGAGAUUCAAUUCUCAUUAGCUUCAAUGGGAAAUUUAUGCUGGUCAAAAAAGAAAAUACAAAUAAAUAGACAGCAAAAGCACCUUUCAUUGAAAAGACAUGAGUGAUAUAUGGAUUCAGUACCUCGAGGCAGGAAUAAUGAUUCAAGUUGGUCAUUUCUACUUUAUCAAGAAAGGAGAGAAAAAAAGGAAAAAGAAAGAAGAUAGAGAAAGCAAUAUUAUAUGAUUUUUUUUGUGCUAAAAUUUGAGGCAAAAUAUGUUUAAAAUUAUCUAUUUAUCCCAGUGAUGGAUAUAAUUAUUUAGACAUGUUGACAAUAAAAAUAUCUGUUGUAUGUUGGAAUAUUAGGGCUUUAUGAUGACGGAUAGUAUGUCCUAAAAGCAAUCAAAAUUAUUUUCUUAUCUUAGGCAUUAUCAUAAUGAUACCUAGCAUCCUUGAGAGGAAAGAAAACAUUCCUUGAAAACCACCUUAAUUUUCAUAUAACUUUAAGAAACAUCAGUGAACCAGGCCAAUAAAUUUACUGGAUCCUCUUGUGAUUGACUUAUGAAGGCCUCAGUCUAAAUGACUAUAAUUGCUGAAAAGCAUCCUCACAAAUGGGGUUAAGUAGAAUUUUCUAUCAGCAGAGUUCACCACUUAGCCCUCUUCAAGUGGGAAAAGAUUUUGGAUCAAACUAUUGGAAUUUAGGGUAGAAACAAAGAAAUAAAGCGUCUCCCCGGUAGACAUGAUACAGACG